CGCUGGCGGCGUGCCUAACACAUGCAAGUCGAGCGGAGUCAGUAAGAGGAAGUUUCGGAUGGAAUCUUAUUGAUUUAGCGGCGGACGGGUGAGUAACGCGUGAGCGACCAACCUUGCACAGGGGGAUAACGGACCGAAAGGUUCACUAAUACCGCAUGAGACCACGGUGUUGCAUGACACAGGGGUCAAAGGAGUAAUCCGGUGCAAGACGGGCUCGCGUCCGAUUAGGUAGUUGGAGGGGUAACGGCCCACCAAGCCUAUGAUCGGUAGCCGACCUGAGAGGGUGAUCGGCCACAUUGGAACUGAGAUACGGUCCAAACUCCUACGGGAGGCAGCAGUGGGGAAUAUUGGGCCAAUGGGGGAAACCCUGACCCAGCAACGCCGCGUGAAGGAAGAAGGUUUUCGGAUUGUAAACUUCUGUCCUUGGUGAAGAGAAGAAGACGGUAGCCAAGGAGGAAGCCCCGGCUAACUACGUGCCAGCCGCCGC
rnacentral:rRNA from 1 species